CGCAGCUCUUGCAAAUGAGUUAUUAGAUAAAAAUUUAGUUGAAGCCUCCUCCCAGAACUCUUUCGAUACCUUGUCGUUUAGCUCCUGUGAAUAGCUUAACCUUCAUAGUCUUUACAAUAGCUUUUGCGUGUAGUUCAUUUAUUAAAAUUAUUAAUUAUAUAGAGGUUUCUAUGUCUACUAAAACGACUGGUACAGUAAAAUGGUUUAACGAAACUAAAGGUUUCGGUUUUAUUUCUCAAGACAACGGCGGCGCUGACGUAUUCGUUCACUUCCGUGCAAUCGUUUCUGACGGUUUCAAAACUCUUGCUGAAGGCCAAAAAGUAAGCUUUGAUGUUGAGCAAGGUCAAAAAGGCCCUCAAGCUUCAAACGUAACUGCUAUCUAAUACAGCAUUUACAGAUGUGACGCGUCAGCGUCACAUCUAUCU
rnacentral:sRNA from 1 species